AUACGUAGGUGGCGAGCGUUGUCCGGAAUUACUGGGCGUAAAGGGCGCGUAGGCGGUUUUUUAAGUUAGAUGUGAAAACCCAGGGCUUAACUUUGGGCGUGCAUUUAAAACUGGAGAACUUGAGUGCAGGAGAGGUAAGUGGAAUUCCUAGUGUAGCGGUGAAAUGCGUAGAUAUUAGGAGGAACACCAGUGGCGAAGGCGACUUACUGGACUGUAACUGACGCUGAGGCGCGAAAGCGUGGGGAGCAAACAGGAUUAGAUACCCUGGCAGUCCACGCUGUAAACGAUGGAUACUAGGUGUGGGAGGUAUCGACCCCUUCCGUGCCGCAGUUAACGCAAUAAGUAUCCCGCCUGGGGAGUACGGCCGCAAGGUUGAA
rnacentral:rRNA from 1 species